AAAGCAGGUCUGCAAAUGCAGCACUUCAUUGCCGUGGCGUGUUGUCAUUAAUCCUGCUGAGAGCAUUUUUCUGCUACGCAGCUCCUAUUCCUCCUCACAGUGGAGCUGAUGACGCUUUGUAGCAGAAUAUUU
rnacentral:snoRNA from 1 species